AAACUGGGAAACUUGAGUGCAGAAGAGGACAGUGGAACUCCAUGUGUAGCGGUGAAAUGCGUAGAUAUAUGGAAGAACACCAGUGGCGAAGGCGGCUGUCUGGUCUGUAACUGACGCUGAGGCUCGAAAGUAUGGGUAGCAAACAGGAUUAGAUACCCUGGUAGUCCAUACCGUAAACGAUGAAUGCUAAGUGUUGGAGGGUUUCCCCCUUCAGUGCUGCAGCUAACGCAUUAAGCAUUCCGCCUGGGGAGUACGGCCGCAAGGCUGAAACUCAAAGGAAUUGACGAGGGCCCGCACAAGCGGUGGAGCAUGUGGUUUAAUUCGAAGCUACGCGAAGAACCUUACCAGGUCUUGACAUACUAUGCAAAUCUAAGAGAUUAGACGUUCCCUUCGGGGACAUGGAUACAGGUGGUGCAUGGUUGUCGUCAGCUCGUGUCGUGAGAUGUUGGGUUAAGUCCCGCAACGAGCGCAACCCUUAUUAUCAGUUGCCAGCAUUAAGUUGGGCACUCUGGUGAGACUGCCGGUGACAAACCGGAGGAAGGUGGGGAUGACGUCAAAUCAUCAUGCCCCUUAUGACCUGGGCUACACACGUGCUACAAUGGAUGGUACAACGAGUUGCGAACUCGCGAGAGUAAGCUAAUCUCUUAAAGCCAUUCUCAGUUCGGAUUGUAGGCUGCAACUCGCCUACAUGAAGUCGGAAUCGCUAGUAAUCGCGGAUCAGCAUGCCGCGGUGAAUACGUUCCCGGGCCUUGUACACACCGCCCGUCACACCAUGAGAGUUUGUAACACCCAAAGUCGGUGGGGUAACCUUUAGGAACCAGCCGCCUAAGGUGGGACAGAUGAUUAGGGUGAAGUCGUAACAAGGUAACCA
rnacentral:rRNA from 1 species